UACGAAGGGGGCUAGCGUUGCUCGGAAUCACUGGGCGUAAAGCGCACGUAGGCGGAUUGUUAAGUCGGGGGUGAAAUCCUGGAGCUCAACUCCAGAACUGCCUUCGAUACUGGCGAUCUUGAGUCCGGGAGAGGUGAGUGGAACUGCGAGUGUAGAGGUGAAAUCCGUAGAUAUUCGCAAGAACACCAGUGGCGAAGGCGGCUCACUGGCCCGGUACUGACGCUGAGGUGCGAAAGCGUGGGGAGCAAACAGG
rnacentral:rRNA from 1 species